rnacentral:rRNA from 1 species
CCUACGGGUGUCAGCAGUGAGGAAUAUUGGUCAAUGGGCGCGAGCCUGAACCAGCCAAGUCGCGUGAGGGAGGACGGCCCUACGGGUUGUAAACCUCUUUUGCCGGGGAGCAACGGGCGCCACGUGUGGCGUCACUGAGAGUACCCGGCGAAAAAGCAUCGGCUAACUCCGUGCCAGCACACGGGGUAAUACGGGGGAUGCCAGCGUUCUCCGGAUUUUUGUGGUUUAAAGGGGUCGUAGGCGGUUCGUUAGGUCCGUGGAAAAAUUGAGGGGCUCACCCCCGUCCCGCCCUUGAGACUGGCGUUCUUGAGUGGAAGAGAAGUAGGCGGAAUGCGUGGGGUAGCGGUGAAAUGCAUAGAGAUCACGCAGAACCCAGAUUGCGAAGGCAGCAUGCCGGCUUCCGACUGACGCUGAAGCACGAAAGCGUGGGGAUCGAACAGGAUUAGAUACCCCAGUAGUC